CUAGAGCACUAUAAACAAGAUUCACUGUUCCAUAAUUUUUUAACAUGGUAAUGAUAUAUAGAAAUCUAUGUUUUUAAAGAUCUGAGUUCUUGAAGUCUGUUUCCAAAAUGUACUUCUUUUCAUAGUAAGAUUUUGUUCCCCUUGAAAUACCAGUGCUUUCUUUUGAGAGAAAUAGUGUUCAGCUCUUUCCGCUGAAAAUGUGUCACAGCCUCCACUGGAUCUUUGGCCUCAAAGGCACACUAGAGCUUGUUUUAAAAAUGUAGUUAGCAAUUAUAACUUUUUCCCAUGUCCAUGAAUGGAAGGAUUAAGGACCAUACCCCAGAUCAGUUACUAAAAUGGGGUAAAGGUUUUUAAACCUUUCCCUGUUGCUCAGUUCUUAUCCAAAUUAGAUUCCCCAUAACAGCAACUUUUAUUUCCAAGAUAAUGAUACUCAAAAUGAAGUCUUUCCCUAUACUCUGUGUCUUUAAAGAAACAUGGGUUUUGACAGACAUGGUUUUAGCUUACCUAAAGUCCCAUUUAUUUCUGCUAAAGCUACGUUCAAGUCCAGUUAAUAUACCCAGAAUAAAACUUAUAAUAUAAAUUCUGUUUUGCACUCAUUAAGUACAUAUGGGGCAAUAUGUUUUUGAAUUGAAAUUGAACUGAGUUGGUGAUAACCCAAACUCAGCCCUUUCACUAGUAUUUAAAAUGUCAGGAAUGAGUGAAUGCUCCCAAAUACUAUGCUUUAACAGGGAAGGGGAAACAAACAGCCCUCUGGAUCUUGUUGGACUUCCGUCAUCCUCAUUAUUUCUAAUUCUGGCUAAAACUGUUAGGAAUUGCAAUUCAGCAAGAUGCAGAAUAUUUCCACUAUACUUGUGUCAUGCAGUUUAGAAGUAAAUGAAUAAUGCAGCAAUUUUGUCCUCAGAUUUUAACACAUGGUUUAUAGAUUAAAGGAAAUAUUCACACCAGUAGUUAAAUCUUUAAAGUAAUAUGUGCCUGUAGACAAAAAAAAAAUCACAACCUGCUACAAAGGCUGACUUUAAAGUCUGAGAUCCUUCAGCAUAGCAUAAAUAUCUACCGGUAGAGUUUCACUGCACUUCCACUGAGCAGCACUCUGCACUGAAUAGCAACAUAACACAAGAUCAGUGUGCAAUGUGCAUCCACACAGAACACAGAAAACAUAGAUGCCCCUCUGAAGGCACAAUAGUUCCUCAUGAAGAACUCUCCUUCCAUCACUGAAUAUAACCAGUUGUGCAUUGUCCAUGAAAUUCACUCUAUGUUCAUAGAGCAAUUUGUUCUUCUAUAGUCAUUGGCAAGAUAUCAGAUGAAUUCACCUUCAUGGCCUGUAGCCUAAAUGAGAAAUACUGAAAUUCACAUCUCCCUCAUCAAGUAAAAUAGUUAUUCCAUCUGUAUACAUUUAAUUGUGUACAUGUGGGGGGAGUGGGACCUGGACAUAGCUGCAUGUGGCUCUUACCUUUGUGCUUUUAAUAAUUGAGUGAGGAUGAGACAAUGUUAAGCAUAAAAUAUAGAGAAAGGCCAUUUCCUUGACCAGGUUUUUGAUAAGAGCUAAUGUACUAUCGACCAAUUUCAAACCUCCCAUUUUUAGGCAAGGUUCUGGAGUGAGUGGUGGCCUCUCAACUCCAGAGAUUCUUGGAAGACACUGAUUAUCUUGACCCAUUCCAGUCUGGCUUCAGGCCUGGUCAUGGUACUGAGAUGGCUUUGAUAGCCUUGAUGGAUGACCUCCGUAGAGAACUUGACAGGGGGAGUGUGUCCCUUUUGGUUCUCUUAGACAUUUCAGUGGCUUUUGAUACCAUCGACCAUGGUAUCCUUCUGUGUCGGCUCUCGGGAAUGGGGAUUGGGGGCACUGCUCUUCACCCAGAUGGUGAAGCUGGGGGAUACCUGCUCAGACCCCUGGCCUUUGACCUGUGGGGUCCCGCAAGAUUCUAUUCUUUCCCCCAUGCUUUUUAAUAUCUACAUGAAACUGCUGGGUGAGGUCAUCUGGGAUUUUGGGGUUCAGUGCCAUCCCUACAGAUAUGACACUCAACUCCACAACGCCUUUCCACCUACCUCCAAGGAAGCCCCUUGAAUCUUAGACCAGUGUCUGGCCACUGUGAUGGAUUAGAUGAGGACCAACAAGUUGAAGCUUAAUCCUGAUAAGACAGAGGUCCUCCAGGUCAGUCGUUUGACCGAUCGAGGCAUAGGGUGGUGCUUGAUGGGGUCACACUCCCCCUUAAGGCGCAGGUCCACAGUCUGGAGGUCCUUCUGGAUUCAUCGCUGUCACUUGAUGCUCAGGUGUCAGCGGUGGCCGGGAGAGCCUUUGCACAAUUAAAACUAGUGCACCAACUGCAACUGUACCUCAAGAAGUCUGACUUGACCAUGGUGUUCCACGCUCUAGUUACCUCAAGGAUGGAUUACAGUAUAUGGGACUGCCCCUGAAGACGGUCCGGAAAUUGCAGUUCGUACAAUGGUUGGCAGCUAGGUUACUAAUUGGAGCUGCUUACAGGGAGUGAUCAACCCCCCCCCCCCUGUUUAAGCAACUUCACUGGCUGCCGAUAAUAUUCCGAGCCAAAUUCAAGGUGCAGGUUAUUAUUACCUAUAAAGCUCUAAACAGUUUGGGACCUGCCUAUCUUCGUGACCCCAUUAUCUUCUUUGAACCUACAUGAUCUCUAAAAUCUUCCGGGAAGGCCCUCCUCCCGCUUCCAUCUUCCUCACAGUUACGACUGGUGGGGACGAGAGAGAGGGCCUUCUUAGCCGUGGCCCCCCGGCUCUGGAACUCCCUCCCUAAGGCGAUUAGGUUGGCUCCCUCUUUAUCCUCCUUCAAGAAACAACUGAAGACUUGGAUGUUUAGGUUGGUCUUUGGUGAGACAGUCACUGGAUGGCCAGUCUCAUUAUAAUUCUAUCCUGAAUUUUAUUAGGUCCUUUUAUUUGGGUAUUUUAAUCUGAUUAUGCUAUAUUUAUAUUGCUGUUGCAGUUCCCCCACCUAUGAAGUUGACUGAAUUGUACUUGGUGGUUGAUUGAUAUUAUUACUGCUGUAUUAACUCUUGUUUUAUUGCCCUAUUGUGUUUUAUUUUUGUAUAUUGUGCAAUGUAUUUCUGCUGUUGUUUUUGUAAAUUAUGCUGAUCAGGCUUUAUCCCAUGUGAGCCGCCCUGAGUUCCUGCGGGGAGAUGGUGGUGGGGUAUAAAAAAAGUUCUAUUAUUAUUAUUAUUAUUAUUAUUAUUAUUAUUAUUAUUAUUAUUAUUCUCACAUUAUCUCAAAUAUAAGUUGACUUAGUUUUUUUUAGUUGAUUUUUUUUUACUAAAGUGACUAAAGUUAUACAUGAGAAUAAAGGAAAGAGCUAACCACUUGGAUACUACUUGAAUCAUAGAGUUGGAAGAGACCACAUGGCCCAUCCAGUCCAACCCCCUGCCAUGAAGAAACACAGAAUCAAAGCACCCCCAACAGAUGGCCAUCCAGUCUCUGUUUAAAAGCCCCCAAAGAAGGAGCUUCCACCAAACUCCAAGGCAAAGAGUUCCAUUGUUGAACAGCUCAUAUAGUCAGGAAGUUCUUCCUAAUGUUCAGGUUCAUCUGCCUGUCUACUAACCACCUCAUCAGAGUCCGCUUGGGCUUCAUCCCAGCAGUGUGCUGGCAGCAUGUCAUCAAUGCACUAAGAGAGAGCCCUGAGGAGAUGAAUGAACACCCAUCAUCUCAUUAAAGAAGCUGGGGAUAGUACAGGAGGAAGCUGGAGACAGCGGGGAAAUGUCACGGGACAGCAGCCCACAAUCAACCACGGUAAGAGAACAAAGCUAGGUGCUGCCCCAUGGUUACCUCCACUGUCCCCGCUUCUGGAUAUCCAUGUGAUGAGGUUCUUAGAUUUCAAUAUAUUUUUCACAUGUACUGUUGUCGAGUCACGCAUCACCCAUCCUGUAUCUAUGCAUUUAGCUUUUUAUGCCUGAGUGUAGUAUAUUUCUCCUUGUUGAAAUUCAUUUUGUUAGUUUUGGCCCAGCUCUCUAAUCUGUUGAGGUCAUUUUGAAUUCCAAUCUUGUUCUCUGGAGUAUUAGCUGUUCCUCCAAAUUUGGUGUCAACUGAAAACAUAAUAAACCCUCUAAACUUUCAUCCAAGUCAUUAAUAAAGAUGUCAAACAGCAUUGGGCUUAGGACAGAACUCCACUUGUCAGUUUUUUCCAGGACGAAGAGGAACAAUUGGUGAGCUUAACCAAUUGCAAAUCUACCUAAUAGUAGUGUUGUCUAGCCCACAUUUUACUAGUUUUGUUUGGAAAAAGAUCAUGGGUAAUCUUGUCAAAGGCCUUACUGAAAUCAAGAUAUGCUACAUUACAGCAUUCCCUGCAUCUACCAAGCUAUCAAAAAAGAGAUAAGAUUAGUCCAACAUGCUUUAUUUUUAAGAAAUCCAUGUUGAUGUUUAGUGGCCACAACAUUCUUUUCUAAGUGAUUACUGCCUGCCUCCUUAAUGAUCUACUGAUCUACCACUAUUAUCCUGUUAAAGACAGGGAAAGGGGAAAAAUAUCAGUUAUAUUCUCCCUGUGCAGUGCCAAAGUGUAGUGACUAAAGUCUAAAAGAUUAAUUUUUGACAAAAAUAAACAUACUUCAGGACAAUUUUUCAUGUACUUUAUAAAUCCAGUGAGCUACUGUGAUGCUGCUAACUUGUUAUGUGCCUUGUACUUUUCAUAUGCGCUUGUUUGCAAAUCCACAUUUUUGAAUUCAUUUGGCACAGGCAUAGCUGGAGCAUGAGAAAGAUUUCCUGCUUUAGCAAAAGGGGUCACAUUUUAAUAACCAGUUAGUCCAUAAUUGAAUUCAAAGCAGUUUAACAAAACAGUUCAUAAGCAGAAAACAAGACAAUUUUAUAAUAAGGAAAGGGUAUAACUAGAUUUGCUUCUUUUUAAUGGGAUGCCCAAGAUAAUUGCUUAAGCACUAGAAAAUCACCGUUGAUUUCAUUCAAAAAGUACUGUUUAUUUUUAUUGAAAACAGCAUGCCAAAUCCUGAUUAAAAGAGAUCAGCAUGCAAAGUUCACUGAACUAAAUGAGCUGAAGAAUGUAGAUUUUGUAUGGAUGAGGCAACACAGGCAGUCCUUAGAGAAGCAUUGCAAGCUCACUUCAGAUGAUUAAGGGUGUAGUUGUCAUUUAAUUUCAGAUUAUCUGAAGUUCACUGGAUCUUGGCUAUGGAGCUGAUUCUCACAGAUUUCAAUGUGAGGCUAAGUAACAUCAUGGUGUGAUUCAGAUGGCAAAGGUUAUUCAUGAACACAUAGGCUAGGAGAAGUUGAAAUAGUUUGCUUUUGUCUAGAUGUGGAUCAGCCCUGCAGCAGACAAAUGCCACACAGGACUAAUCCAGUGUAAUGUAGAAAAAGGCGACCUUAACAUGGUUUUAUCACACAUUACCCAAAGUCGAGGAAAAGUCUAAAUUCUGCAAAAGAAUUCGGACUUUCCCCCAAUUUAGGGCCUAUGGGGACAGUUGGGCUAUUUCCCAAAUUGAACCAGCUGCAGCUGACCUCAUUGCCAUCCCACAUUUCCUGGGCUCAGGCAGCCCCAGGGACAUGGGAUGGCAGUCUUCUUUUCCCCGCCCCUAUAUUAUGGCAAUCUCCAACCCUACCUAUUCCCCGUCAUGUGCCAUGAUGUCAGCCAGGGCAACAAGGAGCUCUUGGUGAAAUCAAAUAGGAAAUAUUUUGAACUCAACCUGAACCCCAGAACCUAUCCCAUUUCCUAUGACCCAGGCUUCCCUUCCCAAAAACAAAAGGAUAAUCUGCCACCGCUUAACCCAAUCAAAUUCAGAUUGCAUGGACAAUAUAGGGCUUGAGUCGCCGAAUUCGGAGUGUUGUCCUAAAGGUGAUUCGCCUCAAGGCAAACAUUGUCAUAUCUCACCCAAAAGAAAAACCAGGACACCUCAGGAAGGCGCCCUGCAGAGCCUGUCAAUUAUGGCUCAUCACCACCCAUCUCUACUUCCACCUCUGACACCCCAAGGCAUAUCUAAAAUCUGUGUACGUGACAGAAACCCGGACAUCCUUGAUUGCUGUCAUUAAUCCCUUUAGAAAUCGGUCUAGCAGGAAUUAAUCCGGUCUUUCCUGCCCUGUCAUUUCAUUGUUUCAAUAACUCCCGCCUUCUCCUUCCUGAUUGGCUUGAGUGGGGACAAAAAGCAGCUCCCUAUUGGGCCAACAGAGCAAGGCGGGAAACGAAAGCCCGCCUCGUUCAACCUUCUAACCUAUCAGCGAUCAGAUGGGCGGGGGAGCGGGGCGGGAAAUUCAAAGGGCUGUCAGACUGAAACUUUGUAUAAAUAUAGCUUUAUUUUGAUUAUGUGGUACCCUAGUAGACUGAAUGAUCACUACUAGAGUCCUUUUCAGCUGAAUCGCUCAAUAAAGACUCCUUGGCGGAUUUUCCUUCAA